rnacentral:lncRNA from 1 species
UAAGCAUUUUGGACUCGUGGUUUGGACCCAACGAGUUAUUAUUGCUACUGGUCCGGUUCGUUACAUUUGGUAUCAAAUCAAUCACUAGCCGGAAGUGUGAGAUGAGUCUUAGCUGAGCAAGGAUUGGAAUGACAAGGUGACAAGCUAAGCCAGGGUUGGGAUGAUAAAGUGAUAAGCUAAGCUAGGGUCAAGAUGACAAGGCUGGUGAGACAAGUCUUAUAUCGCCUGGUAAUCUUGAGCUGUGUGUGUUAAGGGCUGACGAGGACGUCAGGCUUAAACGGAGGGAGUAUAUAACACCCCAAUAGUCCCACAUCAGAUAGGAAUGGGUUUGUUAUUGGGUAUAUACGAGACCAUGGCCACUAGUAAUAAUAACUGACUUAAGCAUUUUGGGCUGGUGGUUUGGGUCCAACGAGUUAUUAUUACUAGUGGGCCGGAUCGUUAUAUUUGUCACGCCCUGGAGUUCUUAUUGGAAAUCCUUCUUAGAAAAACUAGCAGAAAAUGUGUAAAUUUUAAAAAAAAACACCUUUGAGAAUUCCCAACGGAUGCACACAAACCCACCAUAUGGAUAAAGGAUCCUCUGUACAAACGAACAAAGUCUUUCCUAUACAUGCACGACGUAGUACCAUAAUACAAAGUCAACCAAACAUAUAACCACACAAUGUCAAGAUAAUUCACAUACAUCCAUUAUAUUUAAACAAUAAUAGGUAAUGGACUAAACUAAUCCAACAAAAUGAUAGUAAUUAUCAACAACGGACAGAUCUCGAAUACAGCUAUCUAGUAUCGUCCUCACGCACCAUACCAACCUCACCGCCCGCAUCACCAGGAAAAUGGUUGAGGUUGAGAACAUGUAAAUACGUCUCCCUUCCUAGUAGGUACCGCAAGUCGACGAAGGUGAGGUGUACUCACCGACAAAAGGAAGAGAUAACCAUAAAUCAUGAACGGAUAUCAUAAGGACAGU